UGGUGCGGCCACCGAGACGAGACGGAGGCCCGGCGAGAGCGGCGCGGGGGCGCGAGGGCGGGAAGGAGGCGGGGCCCCGGGGCGGAGUCACUGGAGCGGCGCGGGUUCUCAGGGAGGCAAGAUGACUUCUCUGCCCCAAGCUUGGAACAGCUAAAGGGAAAAACAGUGCAAGAUGAGAACAACAAAGGUCUACAAACUCGUCAUCCACAAGAAGGGCUUUGGGGGCAGUGAUGAUGAGCUAGUUGUGAACCCCAAAGUGUUCCCUCACAUCAAGCUUGGAGACAUUGUAGAGAUUGCACACCCCAACGAUGAAUACAGCCCUCUGCUUUUGCAGGUCAAAUCACUUAAGGAAGAUUUACAGAAGGAAACUAUCAGUGUGGACCAGACUGUGACUCAAGUGUUCCGGCUGAGACCUUAUCAGGAUGUCUAUGUUAAUGUCGUAGACCCUAAGGAUGUGACCCUUGACCUAGUGGAAUUAACUUUUAAGGAUCAGUAUAUUGGCCGUGGGGAUAUGUGGCGACUAAAGAAAAGUUUGGUCAGCACAUGUGCCUAUAUCACCCAGAAGGUGGAGUUUGCUGGCAUCAGAGCACAGGCUGGUGAGCUGUGGGUUAAGAAUGAGAAGGUCAUGUGUGGUUACAUCAGUGAAGAUACCAGGGUGGUGUUUCGUUCUACGUCGGCUAUGGUUUACAUAUUUAUUCAGAUGAGCUGUGAAAUGUGGGAUUUUGAUAUUUAUGGGGAUUUGUAUUUUGAGAAAGCUGUGAAUGGUUUCCUUGCUGAUCUAUUUACCAAGUGGAAGGAGAAGAACUGUAGUCAUGAAGUGACAGUGGUCCUGUUUUCUAGAACUUUCUAUGAUGCAAAAUCUGUUGAUGAAUUUCCUGAAAUAAACCGAGCCUCAAUUCUACAGGAUCACAAGGGGAGAUUCUAUGAAGACUUUUACAAAGUGGUGGUGCAGAAUGAGAGAAGAGAAGAAUGGACUUCACUUCUCGUAACCAUUAAAAAACUCUUCAUCCAGUAUCCAGUGUUGGUGCGACUGGAACAGGCAGAGGGCUUUCCUCAAGGAGACAAUUCUACCUCAGCACAAGGAAACUACCUGGAGGCCAUCAAUCUGUCAUUCAAUGUGUUUGAUAAGCACUACAUCAACCGCAACUUUGACCGAACUGGGCAGAUGUCAGUGGUGAUCACGCCCGGGGUGGGUGUCUUUGAAGUGGACCGCCUACUCAUGAUCCUGACCAAGCAGCGGAUGAUAGAUAAUGGAAUUGGUGUGGACUUGGUGUGCAUGGGAGAGCAACCGUUACAUGCUGUCCCAUUGUUCAAGCUCCAUAAUCGGAGUGCUCCCCGGGAUUCUCGUCUGGGCGAUGACUAUAAUAUCCCUCACUGGAUAAACCACAGUUUCUACACAUCCAAAAGCCAGCUCUUUUGUAAUAGUUUCACCCCACGAAUAAAACUGGCAGGAAAGAAGCCUGCCUCUGAGAAAGCAAAAAAUGGCCGUGAUACAUCUCUCGGGAGUCCAAAAGAAUCUGAGAACGCCCUUCCCAUCCAAGUAGAUUAUGACGCCUAUGACGCUCAAGUGUUCAGGCUACCCGGCCCGUCCCGGGCCCAGUGCCUCGCCACCUGCAGGUCUGUGCGAGAGCGAGAAAGUCACAGUCGAAAAAGUGCCAGCUCCUGUGAUGUUUCAUCCAGCCCUUCCCUACCAAGCCGCACACUGCCCACUGAGGAAGUGAGGAGCCAGGCUUCUGACGACAGCUCCCUAGGCAAGAGCGCCAACAUCCUGAUGAUCCCACACCCCCACCUGCACCAGUAUGAAGUCAGCAGCUCCUUGGGUUACACCAGCACUCGAGAUGUCCUGGAGAACAUGAUGGAGCCACCACAGCGAGACUCCAGUGCACCAGGGAGGUUUCAUGUUGGCAGCGCAGAAUCCAUGCUGCAUGUUCGACCUGGUGGAUACACGCCCCAGAGAGCACUGAUUAACCCCUUCGCUCCCUCUCGGAUGCCCAUGAAGCUUACGUCCAACAGAAGGCGCUGGAUGCACACUUUUCCUGUGGGACCAUCCGGAGAAGCCAUCCAGAUCCACCACCAGACCCGACAGAAUAUGGCGGAGCUGCAAGGCAGCGGGCAGAGGGACCCAACUCACUCCUCUGCAGAGCUGCUGGAGUUAGCAUAUCAUGAAGCUGCUGGAAGGCACAGCAAUUCCCGCCAGCCUGGUGACGGCAUGUCCUUCUUGAACUUCAGUGGAACAGAAGAGCUUUCUGUCGGCCUGCUUAGCAACAGUGGUGCAGGUAUGAAUCCUAGGACCCAAAAUAAGGAUUCCCUAGAGGACAGUGUUUCUACCUCUCCAGACCCAAUUCUGACACUGUCUGCUCCCCCUGUAGUGCCAGGCUUCUGUUGCACAGUUGGAGUGGACUGGAAGUCUCUCACUACUCCGGCGUGCCUCCCCCUCACCACCGACUACUUCCCUGACCGCCAGGGCCUGCAGAAUGACUACACAGAGGGCUGUUAUGAUCUCCUUCCAGAAGCAGACAUCGACAGGAGGGACGAAGAUGGUGUGCAGAUGACAGCCCAGCAGGUGUUUGAAGAGUUUAUUUGCCAACGUCUCAUGCAGGGCUACCAAAUCAUAGUGCAGCCCAAGGCACAGAAACCCAAUCCUGCCGUCCCACCCCCGCUGAGCAGUAGCCCACUCUAUAGCCGAGGCCUUGUGUCCCGAAACCGCCUCGAGGAGGAGGACCAGUAUUGGCUGAGUAUGGGCAGAACGUUCCACAAAGUGACGCUGAAGGAUAAGAUGAUCACAGUGACACGAUACCUUCCCAAGUAUCCUUAUGAAUCUGCCCAGAUCCACUACACCUACAGCCUCUGUCCUUCCCACUCAGACUCAGAGUUCGUCUCCUGCUGGGUGGAAUUCUCCCACGAACGGCUGGAGGAGUACAAGUGGAAUUACUUAGAUCAGUAUAUCUGUUCUGCCGGCUCUGAAGACUUCAGCUUAAUUGAGUCCCUGAAGUUCUGGAGGACCCGCUUCCUGCUGCUGCCAGCCUGUGUCACCGCCACCAAGCGCAUCACGGAGGGGGAGGCCCACUGCGACAUCUAUGGAGACAGGCCCCGUGCAGACGAGGACGAGUGGCAACUCCUGGAUGGUUUUAUCCGCUUUGUGGAGGGCUUGAAUCGCAUUCGCAGGCGGCAUCGCUCGGAUCGCAUGAUGCGGAAAGGGACCGCCAUGAAAGGCUUGCAGAUGACCGGGCCCAUUUCCACGCAUUCUCUGGAGUCAACUGCACCCCCGGUGGGGAAGAAGGGAACCUCAGCUCUCUCUGCCCUUUUGGAGAUGGAGGCCAGUCAGAAGUGCCUGGGAGAACAGCAGGCAGCUGUGCAUGGUGGGAAGAGCUCCGCCCAGUCAGCCGAGAGCAGCAGCGUUGCCAUGACUCCCACCUACAUGGACAGCCCACGAAAGGACGGGGCCUUCUUUAUGGAGUUUGUCCGCAGCCCACGCACAGCAUCGUCCGCCUUCUACCCUCAGGUAUCUGUGGACCAAACAGCCACUCCUAUGUUGGACGGCACCAGUUUGGGCAUAUGCACAGGCCAAUCCGUGGACAGAGGCAACAGCCAGACCUUUGGGAACUCCCAGAACAUAGAACAGGGCUACUCCUCCACAAACUCCAGUGACAGCAGCUCUCAGCAGCUGGUGGCAAGCUCCUUGACCUCAUCCUCCACCCUGACAGAGAUCCUGGAAGCCAUGAAGCACCCCUCGACAGGAGUCCAGCUGCUCUCUGAACAGAAGGGCCUCUCACCGUACUGCUUCAUCAGCGCGGAGGUGGUGCACUGGCUGGUGAACCAUGUGGAGGGGAUCCAGACACAGGCGAUGGCCAUCGACAUCAUGCAGAAAAUGCUGGAAGAGCAGCUCAUCACACACGCAUCUGGCGAAGCCUGGCGGACCUUCAUCUACGGCUUCUAUUUCUACAAGAUAGUAACGGACAAAGAUCCCGACCGAGUGGCCAUGCAGCAACCCGCCACCACCUGGCACACAGCAGGAGUGGACGACUUCGCCAGCUUCCAGCGCAAGUGGUUUGAGGUGGCCUUUGUGGCAGAAGAGCUCGUGCACUCUGAGAUUCCUGCCUUUCUCCUGCCCUGGCUGCCCAGCCGGCCAGCCUCCUAUGCAAGUAGGCACAGCUCCUUUAGCCGAAGUUUUGGAGGACGGAGCCAGGCAGCGGCACUUUUAGCUGCCACUGUCCCAGAGCAGAGGACUGUGACCCUGGAUGUUGACGUGAACAACCGCACAGACCGGCUGGAGUGGUGCAGCUGUUAUUACCAUGGCAACUUUUCUCUGAAUGCAGCCUUUGAGAUCAAGCUGCACUGGAUGGCAGUGACCGCAGCAGUACUCUUUGAGAUGGUCCAAGGUUGGCAUCGGAAAGCCACCUCCUGUGGCUUCUUGUUGGUUCCAGUUUUGGAGGGGCCUUUUGCACUGCCCAGUUACCUGUAUGGCGACCCCCUUCGUGCCCAGCUCUUCAUCCCACUCAACAUCAACUGCUUGCUCAAGGAGGGCAGCGAGCACCUUUUUGAUAGCUUUGAACCGGAAACGUACUGGGAUCGAAUGCACCUCUUCCAGGAAGCCAUUGCACACAGGUUUGGGUUUGUACAAGAUAAAUAUUCUGCCUCUGCUUUUAACUUCCCUGCUGAGAACAAGCCUCAGUAUAUCCACGUUACAGGAACAGUGUUUCUGCAGCUGCCCUACUCCAAGCGCAAGUUCUCAGGGCAGCAGCGGCGGCGGCGGAACUCCACCAGCUCCACCAACCAGAACAUGUUCUGCGAGGAGCGGGUCGGCUACAACUGGGCUUACAACACCAUGCUCACCAAAACAUGGCGCUCCAGCGCCACAGGGGAUGAAAAGUUUGCUGAUCGGCUGCUGAAGGACUUCACGGACUUCUGCAUCAACCGUGACAACCGGCUGGUCACGUUCUGGACAAGUUGCCUGGAGAAGAUGCAUGCCAGUGCCCCGUGAGGCCAGGCCGCACCAGGGUUAGAAGGCUGUGCCUGUGCUGGGGGAAGAUAUGCCAAUCCCCUCAUCUGUGAAAUGGGAAGCUAUCUCCCCGGGUGGUUGGAGAAUCAGAAGACACAUGUAGCUGGGCACGGUUGGCCCACACCUGUAAUCCCAACACUUUGGGAGACAGAUGGGAGGAUCGCUUGAGCCCAAGAGUUUGAGAUCAGCCUGAGCAACAUAGGAAGACCGCGUCGCUACAAAAAAAAUAAAUAAAUAAAAAAUUAGCUUGGGGCCGGGUGCAGUGACUCACGCCUGUAAUCCUAACACUUUGUGACGCCAAGGUGGGCGGAUCAUGUGAGGUCAGGAAUUUGAUACUAGCCUGGCCAACAUGAUGAAACCCCAUCUCUAUGAAAAAUACAAAAAUUAGCCGGGCGUGUUGGUGUGCACCUAUAAUCCCAGCUACUCGGGAGGCUGAGGCAGGAGAACCAUUUGAACCUGGGAGAUGGAGGUUGCAGUGAGCCAAGAGAGUGCUACUGCACUCCAGCCUGGGCGACAGAGCAAGACUCCGUCUAAGAAAAAACAAAAGUUAGCUGGACAUGGUGGCUCGCACCUGUCAUCCCAGUUACUUGAGAGGCUGAGGUGGGAAGAUCGCUUGAACCCAGGAGGUCUGCAAUGAGCUGUGAUUGUACCACUGCACUCCAGCCUGGGUGACAGAGCAAGACCUUAUCUCAAAAAAAAAAAAGGCCACGUAUAUGAAAGGUCUUACAAAAAGACAAUAAGCAAAUGUCUGCUCGCAAACAGUUGAACAGCUGCUCUCACAUUCCUGGAUGGGAGUCUCCAUUGUGCUCUCAAGCCAUUGAGUGAUGGUGCUGGACACAGCAAACGCUGGCCUGUUCAGAUCACAUACGAACUGAACAAUCACUUGUGAUCCUCAGUGUCCCGUGUGUGAGGCCAACAAUUGCCCCUGCAAUUGCCCAGCAGAAGAAGGCCCAGAGAAUGAUUUGGUGGAAGAAGGGGCAGCUGGUGAGUUAGGAUGCUGGGUCACUCCCCCAUCAGAGCGGGACCUGAAACUCUCCUGCCCAUGAGCCCCAGUCUCCUUGCUGCCUACUUUCCUGAUUCCUCCUCUCUGGUGGGCACCUCCUUCCACCCACUUGUCCAAGCCAGAAUCUGGUAGUCAAACUCGAUGCCUUCCUCCUCCAUCAUCCUCCAGUCCUCCUAUCCAUUCAUUCUGUCUCUCAGACCCAUCCACCUUUUUGUAGGUACAAAGCUCAGCCCAUAGGGAAUCUGUGGUUUGGUCAGACAUGGAGGACAUGUGCAUGCCGAUCAGAAGCCUAUCACCAGAUUAUACAGGCCAGAUGCGGUGGCUCACGACUGUAAUCCCAGCACUUUGGAAGGCCAAGAUCAUCUGAAGUCAGGAGUUCGAGACCAGCCUGGGAAUCAGAAACCCUGCGCCCAGGUUCAACCUGCUGUUUCUCCACCAGGUGACCCUGCAUAGGCUUUUGAAACCACCCUGACCGUCAUCCGUCUAGCGACAAGAUGGAAAUCAUCAAGACUUCAUUACACAACUCGAGAAGUCGGUGUGAGAACGUGGGAGAUAAAGGUUGUUGGGCUGGGCGCGAUGGCUCAUGCUUGUAAUUCCAGCACUUUGGGAGGCCAAAGCAGGCAGAUCACUUGAGGCCAGGAAUUCGAGACUAGCCUGGCCAUCAUGGCAAAAACCCGUCUCGUCUCAAAAUACAAAAAUUAGCCAGGUGUGGUGGCGCACGCCUGUAAUCCUGGCUCCUCAGGAGGCUAAGGCUGAGAAUCACUUGAACCCGGGAGGCGGAGAUUGCAGUGAGCCUAGAUCGCACCACUGCACUCCAGCCUGGGUGACAGAGGGAGACUGUGUCUCAAAAAAAAAAGUGGGGGGGGGGCGCGUUGUGACAGCAUUUUGAGAACUGAGUCUGAGGAAGAGUCACUGUUACUCUGGUCUGACAGUAGUGCCAACUACGUGUGAUCCUAAGUAAGUCCAUUCACCUCACUCGACCUCAAGUUUGAGGGUGCAGUGAUAACGGCGUUUCUCCAGCUUUCUUCGAGGGAUCAUGGUGAGGACCCGACGCAGUCAGCUUUGCAAAGGUGUCUGAGUGGUGCAGGGUGCUCCCUCAUUUUAAGGCAGUGCUGUAAAUGCUCCCGUAACGGAGGCCAUUCUGGUUUUCUAUUUUAUUUUAUCUUCAGACAGGGUCUUGCUCUGUCACCCAGGCUGGAGUGCAGUGGCGUGAUCGCAGCUCACUACAACCUCUGCCUCCCAGGCUCAGUUGAUCCUUCCACCACAGCUUCCCGAGUAGCUGGGACUACAGGCACAUGCUACCACAUCCCACUAAUUUUUUGUAGAGAACAGGGUCUCAUUUUGUUUUCCAGGCUGUCUCAAACUCUUGGGCUCAAGUGAUCCACCCAACUUGGGCCUGCCAAAGUGCUGGAAUUACAGGCAUGAGCCACCAUGCUCGGCUUAAACAUUUUGCUUUGAACAAGCCCAGCAGGUGAACAAGGAACAUGAUAUACCACUAGCUAGUCUGAAGCUUGGGAAAAGAAAGCAGAAAAAAGAUAACAGCAAGAGCUUACUUGUAUAUUGAACCCCAAACAAGUGUGUGUCCACCAACCUGCUAGGGCCUGGGGAUAGCCCUGAUGGAGGUGAGUGAGGACCCCCACUUCUCAGAGGAGAAACUGAGUCUCAGGGAAGUUCAGCGACUUGCCUGGGGUUACUGAGCACACAGAGCAGAGGAGGGAUUGAACCUGUCUGCAUUCUCCCACCCCCUCCUAAUCCCCCCCAGCCAGGCUGGGCUUUUCCUCACAAUGAGAUGGGGCAUGGGAGACAGAAACCCAGUGAGAGUGGCCUCUGUGGAGGGGCAGCCGUGCAGGGAAGGAGGCAGGGUGGGGCCUGGGGCCAAGCUCCCUGCACAGCCAUGAGAGCCUGCACAGCCAUGAGAGCCAUGUCCCUGGUCCCGACUCCCCAGGGUCUCCUGCUCCUGGUCACUGCACUGUUGGUGGUUGGCGCUGGGAGAACAGGAGCACUCCCUGGGUAGUCUGACACACAGGAUGUGUCUCGCCUCAAAGCAGAAGUGAAACCGGCACAGUUCUCCUUGUGAGACACCCCCUCGCCACCUUCGUCUCUCUUCUGCAGGAACCAGGACAGUGGCUGCCACCACUGGAAGCCAGAUUGGAGGACAACAGAGAAACUGACCAGCUCUGGGGUCUGACCCAUGCAGGGAGCUGGGUGUUCACCCCCCACUGCACACAUCUUGGGAUUGCUUGAUGCAUGCCCCCUUGGGCUGCGUGUCACAGUGAUCACAAGAUACUGUUCCUAUUAGGUUUUAUGAUGUAGACUCUAAGGGAGCUGCCCCUUUAUACAAGUCCCUGUGUCCCAGUGGAAUCACAGCCAGCCCAUCGCCACGGGAGGGAGAUUUGUUUGUGGUUUAUUCGCUCAUUUGUUGUUCACAGAUUUAGUCACCAUGCUUUCCACACAUAUGUAUUAACAGUCACCCAUGUGCCAAGCAUCGCGUAGAUGCAGGGGGAAGGAUAUUAAACAAAAAAUUACACAAAUAA